GUGGAGGAAGAAGAAAAAUAUAUAUAUAUAUAUAUAUAUUAUAUAUAUAAAAAGAAGAAAAAGGAAAAUAUAUGUUGGUGUCGGCAAGAGUUGUCAAAGACAUAACACACAAGAAAAAGAAAAAGAAAAACAAAAAGAGAGAGAAGAGAAAAAGAGAGAGAAAGGGGAAUUCGGCCAGAUUAUUCAAGACAACGUUUGAGGGCUCUAAAGUGUUCUGAUCGGGCUGAUAUUUUGUGGAUAGCUUCGUGACUCAGUGGUCUUCAGAUUCAACGGUGGAGAUUUGGUUUCAACGGUUGGUUUGUGAGAAAUCCGAGUUUUAGCGUAGCUGGUCGCCAUAGUUCUUCAGCUGGUGUGGUCUUGAGUGUUUGAAAGAUCCAACGGUGAGUUCUUCUCGGUUUGAGCUGAAAUUUUGCAGAGGUGUUCCUGACCUGUUUAUCUAGGAUUUGUACGGUGGAGAUAUGAUUUGGUGACCGGAAUCUUAGCGAACCUAGGGUCGUUUGGAACUGCAUAUUUUAGGCUCUUGUUGCUCUCUGUUGUUGAGUUUUUCUUGUGUUGGAGAUUGCUCUUUGGAGCCUUAGUCUCUGUAUCUGUUCUUGUGGAACAGGGAGGACGUGGUUGUAACACUCAUACAUUUGAUAUAGUGGAUUUUGAGUGGACUACGGUCCCGUGGUUUUUCCUUCUCACAUCGAGAAGGUUUUCCACGUAAAAUUGGUGGUCUCAUUUACUUUAAGUUUUUGAAGUUAUUGCUGCCAAGUCCAUUGUAUUUUCUUCACAAGGUUUACAUUAGUUCGGGUGAAACUUUAGUCCGCUGCGUAAUCGUGUGUCGUUUCCCCAACAAACUCUUCUCUCCUAAUCUCACCAGACGACAAAUAGGGUUCGGAUUCACCUCUCCACCAAACCAUUGGGAGAUUGAUGAGAUCGAAAUUUGAUAAAGAAAAUAUUGUAGAUUUGUUAAUCUCUCUUAGAAAAUUUAUCAGUUUUAUGGAUAAUUAUAACACAAAAUCCACAAUUUUCCAAAAUUACCAUUAGUGAGUUUACACAAUAACUAUUUUACUCUUUUCUAAUUAUUUAAAAUAACAAAAUUAAUUAAAAUAUGAAACCAUGAUUAUAAUACGAUCACGUGAAACGUCAAUCAAAUGCUUAUAUUAGUCCUUUUUAAUAUUAAAUUUGUGCUAAUUUUUGGAACUUUGAAGAUUGUGUGCUAAAUUUGGUAACAAAACUUAUUUUUGCGCUAUUUGUGAAAAUUCUCCGUAUAUUUGUUUUAGAUUCAACGCAAACGACAUUCCUAUAACGAACAAAUUCAACCCUAUGGAGGAUCCUGAAAACAAACCAAAACAAUUUAGCGCUAGAAUGAGAAGAGUGUCAAAAGCAAACUCAUAAGAUGCCAAAGGAAAAAUGAAUGAGUUCAAAGUUGCACCUACAAAUUAUCAUGAAAAUUCACACUAAGAUGCUAUAGGAGCAGAGUGAUGUCAGAAUUCAAAAUAGGAUCAUCGACUAGCUUAUUCAAAAUAGGAUCUGGUCCCUCUGGCAAGUCAGGCUUCCCAAUCAAUCAAGAACUGCUAAACCUUUUUCUUAGGUAAUAAAAUUUCCCAUACUAACAAAACAAAAAAGCGUAGAGAGGCUAAUAUAAAGAUGCACGGGAAUGAGCCACAAAAAUAUUAUCCACCGAUAGGGCCGGAUUUAAGUGCAAAAGAUGAGAGACAUGACUAUGGAAUAGACUUGUAUGUUGGGCUUAUACUCAAACCAUAAACAUCAAGAUUCAAGCAUUUGAAGAGUUUGUAAACUCAAGUGAAAAUCGAAAGCUUAUGAAAAGAUAGAAAACAACAACAAAGAGUGCAAUACCAGCAAGAUUUUAACUAGCGACUUGGCAUUGGUCAAAAAGCUAAACAGAUUUUUGUUUUUUCUAUCAACCUCAAAGAGUACUAAUGAUUUAUUGUAAGAUCAAAACAAUGAACACACGUUAGACCAAACCAUACAAACUAAAAAGUGAUUGUGUUGUCUAUAUAUGGAACAAGACAUUACAUACAAGAUUGCGAGGAACUAACAAAUUCAGUAACAUAUGCAAUAAUGCAAACACAGCCAAAGACAUAUCAAAUUGAGGAACAAAAGGUGACCAAGUAGGGCUCUUUAUAAAUAACCAAAGACAAACAAGCAAAGCAAGCAGUGAAUACAUUUGGUUGCAAAGCAACAAAUCAUAUGGCUCGAGGAAAAAAGAUGUUUCACUCACGUUGGCACAUAAACUAGGACUAGCUAUGAUCUAUUUAGUUUACGUUUCAAUCUCAGAGAUAACCUGGACCAGAAGGAUCUAUACCAAAUAUGUAUUGGACAAAGAUAUCCAAACACCUAAUCAUCAACGACACAACUAAAAUGCGAACACCGAUUCAAACAUGUAAACACUGAGAGUGUUAGAUCAGAUCAAUACUGAAAAAUGAGAAAUUGAAAGGUAAAUAGAAAAAAAAAAAACUCAUACCUGGUAGUAGUGGGAUGAAGCCAAAAGAUGUGGCUUGGUUGAGCAGAGAUAUAAAGGUAACCGAUAGUGCCGGCAGUGAGGUCAUAGACUCCAAAUACACAGAAUUUGGAUCCAAAAGGACUCAUUGUGGCCAAGGAAAACUCAGAAAUCACCAAUGUAUUCAGUUAUAUCAUUAUAUUGGUGUCUUCCAACUUGUUUGGUGUUUUAAACUUUUGUGUAUUGAAGACAUCAAAUAUAUAUAAGGUAGAUAGAGAGUAGAGGAAAUUGAUCAUGUAAUUACUAUAAACCGGUUGAGGAUUCACCGGAACGUGAGAGAAACUUGUCUAUCU
rnacentral:lncRNA from 1 species